CACCUACGGGUGGCUGCAGUGGGGAAUUUUGGACAAUGGGCGCAAGCCUGAUCCAGCAAUGCCGCGUGCAGGAUGAAGGCCUUCGGGUUGUAAACUGCUUUUGUACGGAACGAAAAGGUUCUCUCUAAUACAGGGGGCAUAUGACGGUACCGUAAGAAUAAGCACCGGCUAACUACGUGCCAGCAGCCGCGGUAAUACGUAGGGUGCGAGCGUUAAUCGGAAUUACUGGGCGUAAAGCGUGCGCAGGCGGUUUUGUAAGACAGAGGUGAAAUCCCCGGGCUCAACCUGGGAACUGCCUUUGUGACUGCAAGGCUGGAGUGCGGCAGAGGGGGAUGGAAUUCCGCGUGUAGCAGUGAAAUGCGUAGAUAUGCGGAGGAACACCGAUGGCGAAGGCAAUCCCCUGGGCCUGCACUGACGCUCAUGCACGAAAGCGUGGGGAGCAAACAGGAUUAGAUACCCUGGUAGUCCACGCCCUAAACGAUGUCAACUGGUUGUUGGGGGUUAAUUCACUCAGUAACGAAGCUAACGCGUGAAGUGACCGCC
rnacentral:rRNA from 1 species